rnacentral:lncRNA from 1 species
UCAAGGAGGUGAGCUUAGUUAUUAGAGGAGUGUGUGUAGCUAAGUUAUAGCGUCUCAAGGAAGCUUCCCAAAGAAGUUUCUCAAGGAAGCUACCUAGGCUAUAAAUAGAAGCAUGUGUAACACUUGUUGUAAUUUUGAUGAAUGAGAGUCUUGUGAGACACACUUCAAAGUUCAACUUCUCUCCCUCUUUUCCUCCUUCAAUUUCGUGCUCCCCCCUC